UGACCUCCCCGCCAGUUAACUCCAUCGAUUUUGCUUUUGUAGGAGGUAUUUGCCGCUCUGAUUUUUUUUUUGCUCGGCCAUCAUCUCUACAGUUUAUAAGCAAGCAGAACACAUAAGCGAAGCGGAGGAGAAGGGGAUCCAGGAUUGGAAGGAGGAGAUAAAGGAAACCGAAGUAAAUGACUCUGAGCUACAGCUAAAUCAAAUGCUUGUAGAAGAGUGGAGCUUGAGAUUUAAAAACCUUUUACUCUGAAGAAGAGCGAGCAUGUGUCCUUCUAGAUUACCGUUAGAAGAGCAAAUUUGCAAGAAGAAAAAUUAAUACUGAAUUUGGAAGAAACCCUGAAAAGCUAUUGUCUACUUGUUUGGGGAUCCCAAGGCAAUUUCAUUAAAAUUGAUUGUGAAUAUAA